GAGUUUGAUCCUGGCUCAGAUUGAACGCUGGCGGCAUGCUUUACACAUGCAAGUCGAACGGGCUUGGGGGCUUGCUCCCAAGUUAGUGGCGAACGGGUGAGUAAUACAUCGGAACGUACCGUGUAGUGGGGGAUAACGUAGCGAAAGUUACGCUAAUACCGCAUACGAUCUACGGAUGAAAGCAGGGGACCUUCGGGCCUUGUGCUAUACGAGCGGCCGAUGUCUGAUUAGCUAGUUGGUGAGGUAAAGGCUCACCAAGGCGACGAUCAGUAGCGGGUCUGAGAGGAUGAUCCGCCACACUGGGACUGAGACACGGCCCAGACUCCUACGGGAGGCAGCAGUGGGGAAUUUUGGACAAUGGGCGAAAGCCUGAUCCAGCCAUGCCGCGUGUCUGAAGAAGGCCUUCGGGUUGUAAAGGACUUUUGUCAGGGAGCAAAACUUACUGGUUAAUACCCGGUGAGGCUGAGAGUACCUGAAGAAUAAGUACCGGCUAACUACGUGCCAGCAGCCGCGGUAAUCC
rnacentral:rRNA from 1 species